rnacentral:pre_miRNA from 1 species
UCAUUGAGCCUGACUCAAAGCCCACUGAAGUCAAUGGGAAUCUUUUCAUUGAUUUCAAAGGGCUUUAGAUCAGGCUCAUUGAUGA